rnacentral:rRNA from 1 species
CGCACGGGUGAGUAACACGUAUGCAACCUGCCUUCAACAAGGGCAUAACCCGUCGAAAGACGGACUAAUUCCCUAUGACACAGGGGUCCCGCAUGGGGAUAUUUGUUAAAGAUAUUAUCGGUUGAAGAUGGGCUUGCGUUCCAUUAGCUUGUCGGCGGGGUAACGGCCCACCAAGGCAACGAUGGAUAGGGGAACUGAGAGGUUUAUCCCCCACACUGGUACUGAGACACGGACCAGACUCCUACGGGAGGCAGCAGUGAGGAAUAUUGGUCAAUGGACGCAAGUCUGAACCAGCCACGUCGCGUGAAGGAAGACGGCCCUACGGGUUGUAAACUUCUUUUAUACGGGAACAAAGUGCCCCACGCGUGGGGUUUUGCAAGUACCGUACGAAUAAGGAUCGGCUAACUCCGUGCCAGCAGCCGCGGUAAUACGGAGGAUCCGAGCGUUAUCCGGAUUUAUUGGGUUUAAAGGGUGCUCAGGCGGGGGAUUAAGUCGGCGGUGAAAUUUUGCAGCUCAACUGUAAAAGUGCCUUCGAAACUGGUUUCCUUGAGUGCGGAUGAGGUAGGCGGAAUUUGUGGUGUAGCGGUGAAAUGCAUAGAUAUCACGAGGAACUCCGAUUGCGCAGGCAGCUUACCAAGCCGUAACUGACGCUCAAGCACGAAGGCGUGGGGAUCAAACAGGAUUAGAUACCCUGGUAGUCCACGCAGUAAACGAUGAUUACUGGCUGUUUGCGAUAUAAUGUAAGCGGCUGAGCGAAAGCGUUAAGUAAUCCACCUGGGGAGUACGUUCGCAAGAAUGAAACUCAAAGGAAUUGACGGGGGCCCGCACAAGCGGAGGAACAUGUGGUUUAAUUCGAUGAUACGCGAGGAACCUUACCCGGGCUUGAAAUGCAUCUGGCGU